rnacentral:lncRNA from 1 species
UUUGUUUAACCGUGAAGAAAAAGUCCAUGCUUACUCUGGAGAUACAAAGGAAGACUCGAACCUUUUGAAGAUUGAUUGAAGUCGUCAUAUUAAGAAAAAGUCUUAGAGUUUCGUGUCCUGUCUUUGUUAUUUGUAUACCUCUUUAUGUUGCUUAGAUGCAUAGAGCUGGUUUGUUUAGUUGAAUUGUAUUAUUGUCAUUUGUACACCGCUUUAGUGCAUGUUGCAAGAGUUGGUUUGUUUAUUGGAGUUGUUUUCCUAUUUUGAUUGUAAUUGUGAUUGAGCCAAUAGUUGGGGAUAAAGGUUGAGAAAAAGUGAGACGAGAUCUCAUAUCUAGGUGUCAAAGUAGUGAACAAUGUUUGUUCACGUAAGACUACAGAGCAAUACUAUAAGAGUGUUUUCCUUUCUUGGUAUGGAUACCCCCAGAUGUAGGUGACAUUGCACCGAACUGGAUUACCAAAUCUCAUGU